CCUACGGGUGGCAGCAGUGAGGAAUAUUGGUCAAUGGACGAGAGUCUGAACCAGCCAAGUAGCGUGAAGGAUGACUGCCCUAUGGGUUGUAAACUUCUUUUAUAUGGGAAUAAAAUGUUCCACGUGUGGGCUUUUGUAUGUAACAUAUGAAUAAGGAUCGGCUAACUCCGUGCCAGCAGCCGCGGUAAUACGGAGGAUCCGAGCGUUAUCCGGAUUUAUUGGGGUUGAAGGGAGCGUAGGUGGAUUGUUAAGUCAGUUGUGAAAGUUUGCGGCUCAAACGUAAAAUUGCAGUUGAAACUGGCAGUCUUGAGUACAGUAGAGGUGGGCGGAAUGCGUGGUGUAGCGGUGAAAUGCUUAGAUAUCACGAAGAACUCCGAUUGCGAAGGCAGCUCACUGGACUGCAACUGACACUGAGGCUCGAAAGUGUGGGUAUCAAACAGGAUUAGAUACCCGAGUAGUC
rnacentral:rRNA from 1 species